ensembl:lncRNA
GCGGCUUAGCGCGCGCACACGUUCAACCAUUCCCCGCUCCUUCUACUUUUAUUAUAGUUAAGAGAUCCGAGCAGAUUCGAGCUCAGGCGGAGAGAUCGGAGGUCCCACUGCGAGCGUGUGUGUGUGUGUGUGUGUGUGUGUGGGCGCGCGCGCGCGCGCGCGUGUGUGUGUUUAUUGGAAGAGAGAGCAGCGCCUGUUUAUUUGAGCAAAGUGUUUUAACACGAGGACGCAUCAUCACUCCGGCAUAAAAGGAGACCAAAGCAUGAAGCCAGCGGCAGCGUUUUACAGAUCGAAGAUGCUCUUCUUGAUCACGAUAGUGAUGAUCGCACCGGGGAAAGGAGGUUUUACGGACAGAUUAGGCUGUGCUUGGAUGUGACUGUUCGGGGAUAUAAGUAGAGGUAAAUCUUAAUAGCUCUCUUAUGUCUGUGCCGUAUGCCUCUGUUUGAGCCGGCUGAGCCAAGGCUCCCCCAGAGAGCAGCAGAACGCUCAUGAGGUUGUUUAAUUAACGAAAAUCAUUGCCCAGCCCAGUGAUCAGGAAGGCUUUACUUAACAGGGAACUGAGCUAGAGAUAGGCCUGAUGAAUUCUGCUCCAGGUCCUUUAAUUGACCUCAAGCUCAGAGAAACUAAGCUAUGAGAGCCAAUCAUUGGUCCCUUUGCAGAAAUAAAAGACAUUUAGGCAUAAAUGAGGAAAUGAAAACAAAUGAAUACCGUGGCCACUGUGC